GAUGGGGGUGAAACCCGACCAGUACUCCAAGACGCGCAAGCAAGCGCCAAGCGGGGAACUCCGCGGGAAACCGGACCGGAACUCAAGUGUGCAGAGCUCUGCUUCGCUAGGAAUCCUUCUUCUCCAAAUGACUUACCUUUAAUGAGUGGGGGGUGCCCUCUAUUUAUAGGGGUUCUUAUGGGGUCAAUCUGGUCAUUUGGGCA
rnacentral:lncRNA from 1 species